UGUAAUGUAUAUGUUUAUAGGUGGUGCACGCUAAGCGAUUGUUGGACGUUAUAACUCGAUUAUAACAUGUACAUAGCUUGCACAUCAAACGCUAAGGUGACAGGUUAGCUCAAAGAUGUAUUGGAUGAUUGAUUGCCUGAUUUUGCUAGAAUUGGAUUUGGACUUGGACUUCUUGGAUCCGUGAUUCAUUAUUCUCGAUUAGGGUUUAUGCUUAGAUGUGAUCCGGUUGCUUGCACUACUAAAUGGUACUCAAGCUAAUCAGGGAUAAAGACUGCUAUGCUAGGCUUGGACUUCAGAGAUCAGUGCUCCUUUAUUUAAUGUCAGACUUUCAGGCUACAUGCCUUGGAUUAUUUCUUUAUGGACUUGGUUGUAAUAAGCUAUUUUAGCACU